rnacentral:rRNA from 1 species
AGAGUUUGAUUCUGGCUCAGAUUGAACGCUGGCGGCGUGCCUAACACAUGCAAGUCGAGCGGAAUCACUCAGAAACUUGCUUCCUGAUUGAUCAACGACUCAUCGUUGCAGUCACACGGGUGAAUCACCCUUGAAAAACCUGACUUUCCUAAGGGAUAACCGCUGGAAACUGGAAUUAAUACCUUAUGAAACUGAAUUAUCUCAUGGUAUAUCAGUCAAAGACGAAUAAGCGGUGAAAGAUGGUCUCGCGUCCUAUUAGCUAGUUGGUGAGGUAACAUGCUCACCAAGGCUUCAAUAGGUAGCCGGCCUGAUAGGGUGAACAGCCACACUGGAACUGAGACACAGUCCACACUCCUACAGGAGGCAGCAUUGGGGAAUAUUGCACAAUGGAGGAAACUCUGAUGCAACGACGCCUCGUGAAUGAUGAAGGCCUUCAGGUUGUAAAGUUCUGUCCUUGGGGAAGAUAAUGACGGUACCCCAUGAGGAAGCCCGGGCUAUUUACGUGCCAGCAGCCGCGUAAUAUGUAGGGGGCGAGCGUUGUCCGGAAUUAUGGGCGUAAAGGGUUCGCAGGCUGUCUGAUAAGUCAGAUGUGUAAGGCGUAGGCUCAACUUAGGUAAGCAUUGCAAACUGUCAGACUUGAGUUAAGGAGAGGAAAGUGGAAUUCAUAGUGUAGCGGUGAAAUGCGUAGAUAUUAGGAGGAAUACCAGUGGCGAAGGAGACUUUAUGGACUUAUAAUGAUGCUGAGUAAAGAAAGCGUGGGGAGCAAACAGGAUUUGAUACCCUGGUAGUACACGCUGUAAAAGAUGAGUGCUAGGUGUUGGGGGUCAAACCUCGGUGUCGCAGAUAUCGCAUUAAGCAAUCCGCUUGGGGAGUAGGUACGCAAGUAUGUAACUCAAAGGAAUUGACGGGGAGCCGCUCAAGCAGCGGGGCAUGUGGUUUAAUUCGAAGCAACGCGAAGAACCUUACCAGGGCUUGACAUGCCGCUGACCGGUUUAUGAGAUAGAUCUUUACCCUUCGGGGUACAGAGGACACAGGUGGCGCAUUGGUCGUGGUCAGCUAGUGUCGUGAGAUGUUGGGUUAAGUCCCGCAACGAGCGCAACCGUUGUCUUUAGUUGCCAUCGAUCAGUUGGGCACUCUAAAGCGACUGCAGAUGACAAAUCGGAGGAAGGUGGGGAUGACGUCAAAUCAUCAUGCCCCUUAUGUCUAUGGGCUACACACGUGCUACAAUGGUCGGUACAACGAGAAGCAAGCCAGUGAUGGCAAGCAAAUGUAUCAAAGCCGAUCCCAGUUGGGAUUGCAGGGUGCAAUUCGCCAUCAUGAAGUCGGAGCAGCUAGUCAUCGUAGGAUCUCAACGCCGCAGCCAAACGCGUUGGAGGGUGAUGCCAGUAUCACCCUUC